rnacentral:rRNA from 1 species
AUAUGCUGGAAACUCCGAGUAUCCUACAGUAGUCGCCUCAGGCGACUGAAAAUCUGUUAGGUGCGGAUUAUCAGCAGGAAA